rnacentral:rRNA from 1 species
AUGAGCUUGUUUAAGGAAUUCAAGUAUGGACGUGGAGCAGCAGAUGGAUGGAUGUUAGCCAACACAAAAGUUGCACACGGCAGGUCUGAGAUCUUCCACUUGCUACUCGCUCUUGUCAAGACAUUAGGUGAUUAUAAGGCUGUCAUGGGUGAAGUGUUGGGGAAGCAUAACAAGGCUCUGGAGCAUCAAGUUCUUCCAAUUACUUCUGCAGAUGCCAAAGUAGUUCAGCCAGUUGCCCAAAAUAAGCAAGUCUACCUUAAGCAAGGCCAUUGUCCAUCUCCAGAGAAGCGCAAGGCCAUUGUCCAUCUCCAGAGAAGCGCAAGGCCAAUAGCCCACUAG